UACGGAGGGUGCGAGCGUUGUCCGGAAUCACUGGGCGUAAAGGGCGCGUAGGCGGCAUGCCAAGCGUGUGGUGAAAGCCCGGGGCUCAACCCCGGGUCGGCCGUGCGGACUGGCGUGCUCGAGCACUGUAGGGGCGGGUGGAAUUCCGGGUGUAGCGGUGGAAUGCGUAGAGAUCCGGAAGAACACCGGUGGCGAAGGCGGCCCGCUGGGCAGGAAGGCUCGCAAGAGCCGGCUGACGCUGAGGCGCGACAGCGUGGGAAGCAAACAGG
rnacentral:rRNA from 1 species